GACCAACUGCAACACUUAAAGAAAAUGUUUGUAGGCAAGGGGAGGGAAACCAAGCCUUCCAAAUUAAAGAUCAAGCUUUCGUCUUCAUCAAGAAAACAUAUCAGGAAGACUUAUCCGCUGCGAUGACAGAAGGUACGUUGAUAAACCUUCUUAUGUCUUUAUUAUGUGAUGAAUUCAGAUGUUUAUAGAUCAUGGGGUUUAUGUAAGUGAAUGUAAGAUUCAUAUUAGAGCCAUAUCUAAACAUCUGUUUAAUCCAUUAUGUAUAAUAGAUCUAUAGAUUUAAUAACAUAAAAUAAGAGAUCCGGAACUAUAAAGAGUUUUCUAGAUCGGGAACUAAAGAAAUUUUCUAGAUCUGAAACCUGAAAAAAGUUUCCAGAUCUGAAUAAUUGUUAUUAAUAAAAGUUAUAAUUAGAUUAAUAUUAUGUAUAAUAAAGGUUUCUUGGAAUUAUGGUUUAUCGAAAAUUGCAUUAUAUACAAAUUUGUUUUGUUCAUUAUUAGCGCAAAACAAAAUUUUAAAGUGCAGAUAGACCUUACCCUAUUAUGAUUAGCACAUUUAAUCUAUUUCUGCUAUAAUUAGUUACCUACAGGUAGACUAAGACUAUGUAAUAUGAUUAAAAACUAAUUGGAGUGUAUGUACGUGUGGAUACUAAGAAUAUCGACUGAUAUAUCAUGGUUUUUACAGGUUUUUGGUCAUGAUAUAAGUCUUAUUUAUAGAGCUUUUCUAGUGUUUUCGAGUCUUUUUGAGUCAUUUCAGGAUUAGGAACUAUUUGGCAUGCAUUGGAGCUUUUUGGAGCAUUUGGAGAAGAUGUGUCGAAGGAAUGUACCGUGAAAGUAUAUUUGGUGUGAGUGUCGAGCGUCACAACUUCCGGUGUCGAUCGACACCAAUAUCUGACGGCAAUUGAAUUUCUCGCUUAAUUGAAGUUCAGAAGAUUUGCAGAUUCGGCCCAGAAGUUUCCCUUAUUUGCAAUUAAGCCCAGUUCGUGGUUAAGACAUAUAUAUUGAGUUUUUAGGGUUUUGUUAAGACUGAAGCUUUAUUUUGGAGAGGGAGAGAUUUGUAGAGAGUCAGGAGAGAAGAAUCAAAACCUCAUUCAGAGAAGAUUCAGAACUCCUUUACUUCUUCUAUUACUUUCUUUUAUGAUAUCUAUUUUAUUCAUGAUGUUUGUUUCAUUCACCAUGUCUGAGUAGAUCUCUUGUUAGGUUUAG
rnacentral:lncRNA from 1 species